rnacentral:rRNA from 1 species
CUACGGGUCGCAGCAGUGGGGAAUAUUGGACAAUGGGGGAAACCCUAAUCCAGCAAUGCCGCGUGUGUGAAGAAGGCCUGCGGGUUGUAAAGCACUUUCGGUUGGGAGGACUGCUUCUAGCACUAAUAUUGUUGGAAGUUGACGUUACCUUCAGAAGAAGCACCGGCUAACUCCGUGCCAGCAGCCGCGGUAAUACGGAGGGUGCAGGCGUUAAUCGGAAUUACUGGGCGUAAAGCGCGCGUAGGCGGCUAGAUCAGUCGGGUGUGAAAGCCCCGGGCUUAACCUGGGAACUGCAUCCGAUACUGUCUAGCUUGAGUGCAGGAGAGGAGAGUGGAAUUCCACAUGUAGCGGUGAAAUGCGUAGAUAUGUGGAGGAACACCAAUGGCGAAGGCAGCUCUCUGGCCUGAUACUGACGCUGAGGUGCGAAAGCGUGGGGAGCAAACAGGAUUAGAUACCCCAGUAGUC